CAGCAAGAAAAAGUCGUCAUUUACCAGAGAGCUGCAGGUUCGUGUGGUUGGAGGACGGCAUCGCCUAGAAAACUGCAUUCUUGCGCUGGUUCAUUGGCCUGGCUUCUGCGUGGACAACGGGCACCGACUGUCUGACACUGCCCGGGGUUCUUUUAUAGACUCCGUGUAAUGCUGUGCCAUGGCAUCUGUAUUACACAACCACAACAGUCAAGGGUGGACCUGCAAAACAAGCUCCCUGAACCCAUACUUUGG